GUGGCCACCAAGGAGCAGCUCUGACUAGCCUUCUCUUUUCCUCCUUACAGGGGUGCCUCCUGCUAUUAAGAGCCAGCUGCUCACACGCCAGAGUCCUUCUCUACCCAGACUCUCCAGGGCGACUGGGGAGGCAAAGCUGGGCCAGGCUGCUGGGGAAAAAGAGCCUUCUCCCAGGCUGCGUACAGCACGUCAGGAGAGCUCCUCAAAGAUGGCAGAAGAGGGGAAGGGCAAGCGCUCUGCUGCGGCCUGGCCCCAAACUCAAGCCCCUGCCUGUGAGGGUCAAUGGAGAGCAGGACAGGAAAUAUGCUGCCUGUGCCGGCAAGAAGAUGAAAGAACUCUGCAGGCAUCGCUGGCUGAGGAG